CUACGGGUUGCUGCAGUGGGGAAUAUUGGACAAUGGGGGAAACCCUGAUCCAGCCAUGCCGCGUGUGUGAAGAAGGCCUUUUGGUUGUAAAGCACUUUAAGCAAUGAAGAAGACCUAACGGUUAAUACCCGUUAGCGAUGACAUUAGCUGCAGAAUAAGCACCGGCUAACUCUGUGCCAGCAGCCGCGGUAAUACAGAGGGUGCAAGCGUUAAUCGGAAUUACUGGGCGUAAAGCGAGCGUAGGUGGCUUGAUAAGUCAGAUGUGAAAUCCCCGGGCUUAACCUGGGAACUGCAUCUGAUACUGUUAAGCUAGAGUAGGUGAGAGGGAAGUAGAAUUCCAGGUGUAGCGGUGAAAUGCGUAGAGAUCUGGAGGAAUACCGAUGGCGAAGGCAGCUUCCUGGCAUCAUGCUGACACUGAGGCUCGAAAGCGUGGGUAGCAAACAGGAUUAGAUACCCCCGUAGUC
rnacentral:rRNA from 1 species